rnacentral:sRNA from 1 species
AUGUAAUUUCAGAAGGUGGUCCACCAUU